rnacentral:rRNA from 1 species
UACGAAGGGGGUUAGCGUUGUUCGGAAUCACUGGGCGUAAAGCGCACGCAGGCGGAUUGAUAAGUCGGGGGUGAAAUCCCGGGGCUCAACCUCGGAAUUGCCUUCGAUACUGUCUGUCUUGAGUCCGGGAGAGGUGAGUGGAAUUCCUAGUGUAGAGGUGAAAUUCGUAGAUAUUAGGAAGAACACCAGUGGCGAAGGCGGCUCACUGGCCCGGUACUGACGCUCAUGUGCGAAAGCGUGGGGAGCAAACAGG